rnacentral:rRNA from 1 species
ACGCUGGCGGCGUGCUUAACACAUGCAAGUCGAACGGAAAGGCCCUGCUUUUGUGGGGUGCUCGAGUGGCGAACGGGUGAGUAACACGUGAGUAACCUGCCCUUGACUUUGGGAUAACUUCAGGAAACUGGGGCUAAUACCGGAUAGGAGCUCCUGCUGCAUGGUGGGGGUUGGAAAGUUUCGGCGGUUGGGGAUGGACUCGCGGCUUAUCAGCUUGUUGGUGGGGUAGUGGCUUACCAAGGCUUUGACGGGUAGCCGGCCUGAGAGGGUGACCGGCCACAUUGGGACUGAGAUACGGCCCAGACUCCUACGGGAGGCAGCAGUGGGGAAUAUUGCACAAUGGGCGGAAGCCUGAUGCAGCAACGCCGCGUGCGGGAUGACGGCCUUCGGGUUGUAAACCGCUUUCGCCUGUGACGAAGCGUGAGUGACGGUAAUGGGUAAAGAAGCACCGGCUAACUACGUGCCAGCAGCCGCGGUGAUACGUAGGGUGCGAGCGUUGUCCGGAUUUAUUGGGCGUAAAGGGCUCGUAGGUGGUUGAUCGCGUCGGAAGUGUAAUCUUGGGGCUUAACCCUGAGCGUGCUUUCGAUACGGGUUGACUUGAGGAAGGUAGGGGAGAAUGGAAUUCCUGGUGGAGCGGUGGAAUGCGCAGAUAUCAGGAGGAACACCAGUGGCGAAGGCGGUUCUCUGGGCCUUUCCUGACGCUGAGGAGCGAAAGCGUGGGGAGCGAACAGGCUUAGAUACCCUGGUAGUCCACGCUGUAAACGGUGGGUACUAGGUGUGGGGUCCAUUCCACGGGUUCCGUGCCGUAGCUAACGCUUUAAGUACCCCGCCUGGGGAGUACGGCCGCAAGGCUAAAACUCAAAGGAAUUGACGGGGCCCCGCACAAGCGGCGGAGCAUGCGGAUUAAUUCGAUGCAACGCGUAGAACCUUACCUGGGUUUGACAUGGAUCGGGAGUGCUCAGAGAUGGGUGUGCCUCUUUUGGGGUCGGUUCACAGGUGGUGCAUGGCUGUCGUCAGCUCGUGUCGUGAGAUGUUGGGUUAAGUCCCGCAACGAGCGCAACCCUUGUUCACUGUUGCCAGCACGUUAUGGUGGGGACUCAGUGGAGACCGCCGGGGUCAACUCGGAGGAAGGUGGGGAUGACGUCAAGUCAUCAUGCCCCUUAUGUCCAGGGCUUCACGCAUGCUACAAUGGCUGGUACAGAGAGUGGCGAGCCUGUGAGGGUGAGCGAAUCUCGGAAAGCCGGUCUCAGUUCGGAUUGGGGUCUGCAACUCGACCUCAUGAAGUCGGAGUCGCUAGUAAUCGCAGAUCAGCAACGCUGCGGUGAAUACGUUCCCGGGGCUUGUACACACCGCCCGUCAAGUCAUGAAAGUUGGUAACACCCGAAGCCGGUGGCCUAACCGUUGUGGGGGAGCCGUCGAAGGUGGGACUG